GUGUCAGCAGCCGCGGUAAGACGAACCGUGCGAACGUUGUUCGGAAUCACUGGGCUUAAAGGGCGCGUAGGCGGGCACGCAAGUCAGGGGUGAAAUCCUCCGGCUCAACCGGAGAACAGCUUUUGAUACUGCGUGCCUCGAGGGGGGUAGGGGCAUGUGGAACUUCCGGUGGAGCGGUGAAAUGCGUUGAUAUCGGAAGGAACGCCGGUGGCGAAAGCGAGCUGCUGGACCUUUUCUGACGCUGAGGCGCGAAAGCCAGGGGAGCAAACGGGAUUAGAUACCCCGGUAGUCC
rnacentral:rRNA from 1 species